GACAGAGGAUGCAAGCGUUAUCCGGAAUGAUUGGGCGUAAAGCGUGCGCAGGCGGUGAUGUAAGACAGGUGUGAAAUCCCCGGGCUUAACCUGGGAACUGCAUUUGUGACUGCAUCGCUGGAGUGCGGCAGAGGGGGAUGGAAUUCCGCGUGUAGCAGUGAAAUGCGUAGAUAUGCGGAGGAACACCGAUGGCGAAGGCAAUCCCCUGGGCCUGCACUGACGCUCAUGCACGAAAGCGUGGGGAGCAAACAGG
rnacentral:rRNA from 1 species